UGCCACGCCCGAAGUCGUUACUCCAACCCUUGUGGAGGAGGACGCCGAGGGUGGGGCUGAUGACUGGGGUGAAGUCGUAACAAGGUAGCCGUACCGGAAGGUGCGGCUGGAUCACCUCCUAACAGGGAGACAAAACUGAUCGUGAUGUCUGAGCGCCAUGCGGAAGACCAUGGAAGGAGCCAUCCAAGGGUAAAUCCAAGGAUGAAUCCGAAAGGUCAAUCGUAGGGCACAAUAUGUCUCAGUCCAUGAUCCUGUCAUCUCGAAGGUCGAUCGGUACCUCAAGGUGAGCCAUCAAGUGUAACGGAUGAAUCCGUAAAGGUUCGCAAGAACCGGAGCGGGAGUGUCUGAGGAAGCUGUGAUGGACUCGUUUUCAGUUCCUGAACUUUGUCUAGGUCACCCCACAAGAGGGACCCAGCGACGAUGACGUCUGCACUGCUGCACUACUGCACUACUGCACUACUGCACUACUGCAGGAGCACUGCAGAACAUCGAGGCUGAAGGCUCCACUGUCAGAGUGAUUGUUCCUGGGCCAUUAGCUCAGGUGGUUAG
rnacentral:misc_RNA from 1 species